rnacentral:tRNA from 1 species
ACCUUUGUGUUGUAAUUGGCAGCAUGCUCAACUCGUAUUCGAGAGGUCCAGGGUUCGAAUCCCGGCCAGGGAA